GAWAACCAAGGAUUCCCCUAGUAGCGGCGAGCGAAGCGGGAAGAGCUCAAAUUUAUAAUCUGGCACUUUCAGUGUCCGAGUUGUAAUCUCUAGAAGUGUUUUCCGCAUUGGACCGCACACAAGUCUGUUGGAAUACAGCGGCACAGUGGUGAGACCCCCGUAUACGGUGCGGAUGCCCAAUGCUUUGUGAUACACUUUCGAAGAGUCGAGUUGUUUGGGAAUGCAGCUCAAAUUGGGUGGUAAAUUCCAUCUAAAGCUAAAUAUUGGCGAGAGACCGAUAGCGAACAAGUACCGUGAGGGAAAGAUGAAAAGCACUUUGGAAAGAGAGUUAACAGUACGUGAAAUUGUUGGAAGGGAAACGCUUGAAGUCAGACUUGCUAUUCGGGGCUUGCUCCGAGUUGCAGGCCAGCAUCAGUUUUCUGGGGUGGAAAAUCACGGUUAGAAGGUAGCAACUUCGGUUGUGUUAUAGCUUUCCGUUGGAUACAUCCUGGGGGACUGAGGAACGCAGUGUGCUUUUAGCAGGAGCUUCGGCUUCAUCACACUUAGGAUGCUGGUGGAAGGCUUAAAC
rnacentral:rRNA from 1 species